AGAGUUUGAUCAUGGCUCAGGAUGAACGCUGGCGGCGUGCUUAACACAUGCAAGUCGAACGUGAGGGGCGCAAGCCCUGAAAGUGGCAAACGGGUGAGUAACACGUAGAAACCUGCCUCGAAGUGGGGGAUAACCACGGGAAACUGUGGCUAACACCGCAUAUGCUUGUACGCUUGGGAGAGCGAGCAAGGAAAACUGAGGUGCUUCGAGAGGGGUCUGCGUCCGAUUAGCUAGUUGGAGAGGUAAAGGCUCACCAAGGCGAUGAUCGGUAGCUGGUCUGAGAGGACGAUCAGCCACACGGGAACUGAGACACGGUCCCGACUCCUACGGGGGGCAGCAGUGAGGAAUAUUGGUCAAUGGGCGCAAGCCUGAACCAGCAACGCCGCGUGGAGGAAGAAGGCCUUCGGGUUGUAAACUUCUUUUCUGUGGGAAAAGGAAGGAUGGUACCACAGGAAUAAGUCACGGCUAACUACGUGCCAGCCGCCGCGGUAAUAC
rnacentral:rRNA from 1 species